rnacentral:rRNA from 1 species
GACGAACGCUGGCGGCGUGCUUAACACAUGCAAGUCGUACGGUAAGGCCCUUUCGGGGGUACACGAGUGGCGAACGGGUGAGUAACACGUGAGUAACCUGCCCACAACUUUGGGAUAACGCUAGGAAACUGGUGCUAAUACUGGAUAUGUGCUCCUGCUGCAUGGUGGGGGUUGGAAAGCUCCGGCGGUUGUGGAUGGACUCGCGGCCUAUCAGCUUGUUGGUGGGGUAGUGGCCUACCAAGGCGGCGACGGGUAGCCGGCCUGAGAGGGUGACCGGCCACAUUGGGACUGAGAGACGGCCCAGGCUCCUACGGGAGGCAGCAGUGGGGAAUAUUGAACAAUGGGCGCAAGCCUGAUGCAGCAACGCCGCGUGCGGGAUGACGGCCUUCGGGUUGUAAACCGCUUUCAGCAGGGACGAAGCUUUUUGUGACGGUACCUGCAGAAGAAGCACCGGCUAACUACGUG